rnacentral:rRNA from 1 species
GAGAUGUGUGAUGACGCAUAUCAAUAAGCGGAGGAAAAGAAACUAACUAGGAUUCCCUUAGUAACGGCGAGUGAAGCGGGAAGAGCUCAAAUUUGAAAUCUUCAAGGUUCUACCUUGACGAAUUGUAGUUUAUAAGAAGUGUUUUCUGUUAGUAGAGUUGGCUAAAAGUUCUUUGGAAUAGGACAUCAUAGAGGGUGAGAAUCCCGUACUUGACCAUUCUUUCUAACUUUGUGAUACACUUUCAACGAGUCGGAUUGUUUGGGAAUGCAGUCCAAAAUGGGUGGUAAAUUUCAUCUAAAGCUAAAUAUUGGCGAGAGACCGAUAGCGAACAAGUACCGUGAGGGAAAGAUGAAAAGAACUUUGAAAAGAGAGUUAAACAGUACGUGAAAUUGUCAAAAGGGAAGCGUUUGACACCAGUGUUGUUUUUCCGAAAAUCAAUUACGAAUGUUUUGUUUUUAAGAAGUUAUAACUUCAUCGGCUUGCUUCUUUCUUUACGAAACUUUCUUAAUGCACUUUUCGGUUAACAAGUCAACAUCAAUUUCUUUUGUUGUAAAAGGGUACGAGGAAGGUGGCUUUCUUUUCGGAGAAAGUGUUUAUAGCCUUGUACCUCUGCAAUCGGAGAGAUUGAGGUCUGCAGCGUAGAUCCUUCGGGGUUAGAUACAUUUGUGCUAAGUUAUAGCUUUUCAUAGACAACUUGUUGACUAUGUUAAGUCUUGUAGCUUACUCGCUUAUGCUAUUUUACCUACGCUUAGGAUGUUGAAGAUGUAGCACAUCAU